GGUAGGAAUGAAUUGAUAGCCAGAUACAUCAAACUCAGGACAGGGAAGACGAGGACCAGAAAACAGGUGUCUAGUCAUAUACAGGUCUUAGCAAGAAAGAAAGUUCGAGAAAUUCAAGCCGCCAUUAAGGUGUCUAGUCACAUUCAGGUUCUUGCCAGAAGGAAAUCUCGUGAUUUUCAUUCCAAGCUAAAGGUAUGCGCUUUCCUGCUUUUUGGCUUGUGGUUGCUAUGCAUCUCACUUCCUGUUUUCCAUGGUGACUGGUGAAUGCCUGGUGCUGGGAUUCUGGUAACCUAGUUUCCUCGCAUGUGAGAGCUGUUUACAUUUCUUUGUGUCUAAUCUCUCUGUUUCUGUACUAGCCUCACAUUAAGCUCAGAGAGAGAGAGAGGAAGAGAGAGUGUUGUGUGUGUGUGUGUUUGUGUGUGUGUGUGUGUCCCUAAUAACAAUGCAAAUGCAGCAGAGAGCUGGUCUUGAUAACUUUUCAGCACAGAAACAUGAUUUUUUUUUUUACCCUUCAAAUAUCCACCAAGCAGCCCUGAGCUAGGAGAGGGAAAAAAAAGUCAAAGAGAUGCAAAGUUGGUGUAGAAAUUAUAAAUGAAUCAUUUCCAAGUGGCCAUCAUGAAAUUACUUUGAAAAAAAUUCAGAAAUUAUUUUAAUUUGUGCUUUUGAUGUAUUUUCAGUACUUAUGAAAAAUACAUCUUCUUCAUGUAAUUUUUCAUGUGUUCUUCCAACAGAGAGUAUUUUCUGCCAGAUUUCUUCCACAUUGCUUAAUGUUUUUUAAGUGUGUGGCUUUGUUAAUUAAAAAAGAAAUUUGAGGUGAGGGCUUAAAAAAAGAUAGGUCUUAGAGAUGGGAAAGCUCUUGAUCAAAUCCAUGUUUGCAAUUCCGUUUGUACGUGAGUUUAUUAUUUUUUUUGUACAUGUGCCUCAUUUUCCGGUCUUUUAAAAUAUAUUUCAUAGCAAAAACAGAGGCAUGGACGACUUAAAAAUGCAAGUUCUCCCUAUUUUCUCCCUUUCCAAAACUUGCAGUAAAGCAUACCUGACUUUUUUUCCUCCAUAAUGCCCUAUUUGAGAAAUGCAAAGGAAUUAUAGUUUGCAUGGAGGAGCUUUACUUUAUAAUAAAAAUGAAUCUGUAGUCCAUAUUGUUGUCUUUCCCACAGGCCUGUUUUUGGUUCUGUUCUGAUUUUUCCCCCCCAUACAUUAAGUAAAUUUGUGUUUUUGUUCUAAACUAAAGGACAAAGUGUAAUUUCACAGCCCCAAGUGGUGAACACUGGGACCCUUCCCAAAAGCCUCCAACAUUUUUUAUGCAAACGAAGCUGACUGUGGAAUAGGUCUAGCGACCAGGAAGGUGCAUUUGGGGUGCCCUCUGCAGUGGGCAGCAUGCUGGCUCGCUCGCUCACACAUGUGGCUGAUGGUGGCUGGCUUUUAGUUGCACUGGCUGAGCAGUUGGAAGACUAAAAUAACUUCGUAGCUCCUGCUUUUUAACCGAAGGUGCAGUCCUUUCUAUGUGGAUGUAACUACCCCAGUGUUUGCUCAAGUUCUCACUCUGUUUCUAGUUUCUCUAACGGAUUAAUGAUGUACAAAGAAGUUUACAGACAUCAAUUUUGUGUUUCCAUCUGUGAUGUUAUGAAUUGUUCUAUUUCUGCACUGUGUGGUUCCUGUAUGCUCACCAGGGCACAUGGCUCUGGACCGAAAGCCCUGUAAAUGGUGGGUAAAGCUCUCCGGGUCAGAGGGGAUCCCCAUGGGAUUCCACAAGCACUCUUUUUCUCUCUUGGUGACUUUACAAAUUUUCCUCAGUGGAAACAGUUUUGCCAUUACCUUAUACAUACACAUACAUACCAACACACAGUCGUGUUUGUGUUUGUUCUUUAAAAAAGACUUCCCCCCACUUUCAGCCAGCCCUGGACCACUCUCCUCUGGGGCAGGCACGAAGAAGAGGCAGAAACAGAGGCAGUGGGGUAGCAACUGGCUCGGCAUUUCAUCUCCAAGAACCACCUCCAUCUUCUUACAGUUCCUUUCCUUCCUCCUUACCUCAUUAUUCUUGGAAAAAUGGAGGCCUUUGUUCUUCCCAUCAGCUAAUACCAGUCGAGUGUUCCAGGCAUGGCGCUUAUCACAGUGGGCAGUUAACAACCAAGCCUCUAUUCACAGAGCUGGCCGUGGAAAUGGGAAUGUGAAAUAUAGGGCACUGUAGGAUAAGUGUUCGCAGAAAGAGCCAAAGUUAAAUGUGUAGGCAAUCCCAGAGACGAGCUGUGUGGACAAUGUGCUGCUGAGUUUGGGGAUGAAAGACAGGAGUUAGUGCAGUGCAGAGCCUCUUGUGUGUUCUCUCAUGUAAGCUCACUACAAAGUGAGCUCCAUUCUUCGGAUUUUGAGGAGUAACAGGGAUCCAAAGGUUUAAUUAACUCACCAAAAGCCAUCCAGCAUAGGAGGUGGCUAAGUCAGGAUUUGAACUUUCUGAAUCCUAAACCACUGCUC